UCCNCAGUAGUCUGAAAUGCAAGUGCUUC
rnacentral:piRNA from 1 species